AACCUGGGAGAGUGCUCAAGAACGUUGCAAAGGAAAGGAUUCAUAUUUGGCUGUCAUAGCUAAUGAACAGGAGAAGACAUCUCUUGGUGAAGUGCUUUGGUACAGCAGAACAUACAAUGAAUUCUGGAUCGGCCUGAAAGCUGAAAAUGGGAAAUGAAAGUGGCUCGAUGGAAGUGAACUGACUCAUAACUCCUGGAUACAACAACCAGCUACUGAUGGUCAAUGUGCAUUUUUUCGUAACUACAAGACAUGGAGAUCAGCGGACUGUAAUGACAAAAAACAAUGGAUCUGCCAACAGAAGGCUUUAACUCUGACUUGAGAAGGUUACAGGAGACUCUGUAAAUAUUAAUUACAUGUAAAAUAAAAUCAGCUGGCUUUAACAUAUCAAACUCUGAAAAAAUCUACUUAAAUUUAAAACAUAUUAAUAGGAAUUUAUUUUGUAUAGAACAAAAUAGUUAAGUAUUAAUUAUUAAAGUUAAUUAUUUUCUAAAUCAUUUCUGGAAAAUGUUCAAAAAUGUUUGUGUUUGUUGCUGUAAAAAUCAGAAAGUCAGAUUGAAUGUAUUUGUACAAUUAGAUAUUGGAUUAUAUAUGUACUGUGAGUCUGACUAUUGAUGACACCAUCAUUUAGAAACACAGUGACUGGCCUAAAGGGGCACUAAACUGUUAAUUAUUAAUAAAUGUGGAUGUGCUUUUCUUCUGCUUUGUUAGAGAUGCAGUUCUUACAAUGUGUAUAUUUGCAGACUGAUGAAAGGGAACAACAAAAGUGCUCAAAGUUCCUUAUUUCUUGUUGUCAUGGAACAGUUUAAACUGUUUGUUCUGCUGAUUGGCCAACAGGUGGCGAUGCAUCACUCGUUCUCAACAGAAUGAUCAGCUGUUUUCAUAACCAUUUGUAUCCUGAUGUGAUAAUAAUAUGUAGACAUGUAGAUGAAUAAUAUGUCAUAUGUAGAGGUGACAGCUACAUGUUAUGUUUGUCUUGAAGCAAAUGACUGUUUUGGUCUGUUAUAUUGAAUAAAAAUGCUGCCGCACGUU